GCAUCGGUGGUUCAGUGGUAGAAUUCUCGCCUGCCACGCGGGAGCCCCGGGUUCAAUUCCCGGCCGAUGCA
rnacentral:tRNA from 1 species